CAGUGCCGCGGUAAUACGAAGGGUGCAAGCGUUACUCGGAAUUACUGGGCGUAAAGCGUGCGUAGGUGGUGGUUUAAGUCCGUUGUGAAAGCCCUGGGCUCAACCUGGGAAUUGCAGUGGAUACUGGGUCACUAGAGUGUGGUAGAGGAUAGUGGAAUUUCCGGUGUAGCAGUGAAAUGCGUAGAGAUCGGAAGGAACAUCUGUGGCGAAGGCGACUAUCUGGGCCAACACUGACACUGAGGCACGAAAGCGUGGGGAGCAAACAGGAUUAGAUACCCCCGUAGUCCCUGUCUCUUAUACA
rnacentral:rRNA from 1 species